rnacentral:rRNA from 1 species
UACGUAGGGUGCGAGCGUUAAUCGGAAUUACUGGGCGUAAAGCGUGCGCAGGCGGUUUUGUAAGACAGAUGUGAAAUCCCCGGGCUUAACCUGGGAACUGCAUUUGUGACUGCAUGGCUAGAGUGCGGCAGAGGGGGAUGGAAUUCCGCGUGUAGCAGUGAAAUGCGUAGAUAUGCGGAGGAACACCGAUGGCGAAGGCAAUCCCCUGGGCCUGCACUGACGCUCAUGCACGAAAGCGUGGGGAGCAAACAGG